GGCAUUAAAUAUGUCUAUGUGACAACAAAAUAGUGUGUCCACUAUGCAUUAUACUAAGGUGUUCAACUCACUAAAUUUACUAAAACAGAACUAAUAUAUAUAUAAAACAGAACUAAUUAAGGUGUUCCACCUUGACUCGUUUUUAUAGUUUACACACUUUUGUAUUGCCGCUUCUUACUGCCGUAUUUAUGUUAAUGCACUUUCCAAUGAUACGUAAACAAGGUAUUUCUGGCCCUUUAUAGAGAAGAUAUAUCAUAUAUUUUUGUAAUAAAUAAAUCAUUUAUCAUUUGGAGGAGGAAUAUAUAGUAUUUCAUUGCUAUAAGUAUGGAUUAUUGAAAAUAAUAAGACAUGUAUUUGGAUAUCUCCCUUCAACUAUUCCUGUCAAAUAAAUAAGACUGUGGGUCGAAGGGAAUUCUCUGAAGAGAAAGUGGAUUAUGGGUGUGUGACUUGAACUGUUGAUUAGUCUGUGUAGUUAUAGGCCUGCCACAUUGGAAUUGGAAUUCACAAUCAAAUGUGUCUUUGUUCCAACCACCGCGUAAGCCUUAUACAGAGGGGAGGAUAGGCUGGUUCGCUUGAAGAGAAUUAUUUCUAUGAUCAGAUCCGAAUCAUGUUGUACAUGAGCAGGCUCCGUAAGAUCCAGUAUAAUAAGUGAAAUAGAUAAACUAAAUAUGUUCCUGAAUUCCAAAUCGAUAGCAAAAACUAAAUAUGUAUAUGUAUAUAUAUAUAUAUAUAUUUGUAGUUGCACACUUGCAUUUGAGAUAGAUACCUCUGUUUAACUGCGUCACCCAUUGCAUGUGGGCGCCUCAAUGCCAAUUGAAGCCUCCCUCUUGCGAUCGUGGGUUUAAUAUCUUACAUACAUGAUUGUUACUUUAAGUCAUGAACAAUGAAAUACAGAAAGAAACUUAGAAAGGUUUACUUGGAAAUCAAAUUGUUGGUGCUGUUGGAUGUCCAGAUUCCUUACGACCAAAGGGAAUAUCCUUGCGGAUACAGCAGUGAAUCUGCAAUAUCAGUAGCGGCACAUAUGGUGGCGGUUUCACGGGGCAAUGAAACAGAUGGAAUCAGAUUGUUUUGGACUAACUGCAGUCUAGCUGUCAAUCGUGAGCUUUGAUCGAAGAGACCGUGAAGCAACAAAAGCAGCUACCAAGUUCAUUCCUGUUGCUGGCCAUAUCAAAAAUUUCUCAACAAAAAAAAAAGCUCAAAGGGAAGAAAUUAGAUGUGGUAAGAAAUCCCUUGUCAUCCUUUCGAGUAGGUCCAAUGCGGUUCCAAUUCUUGAGUGUCAUUUGCGCACAUUACGGUAGAAAAGUGAGGACUCAACUCAGAUGUAUUGCUAGUUCUAGGCCAAUGCUUUUACUUAGCUAACAUGUUUCUUCUUCUUCCUGAAAAAUUUGAUCCCAGCAAGGUGCAACUCUCAUUCAUCAUUUGGGAGGCAUCCAAUAUUGAUGUCUUUCAAAGUGGAGACAGAGUAGCAAUGCCGGCGGAAACCAAUUCUUACUUCUAAUUUGCAAGGCCAAACUGAAUAUCGUAUGCAGUCGUUAGCUGGCAUUAUAGCAUUCAACAAGAACAAUCCUGAUUUGGAGAGUUUUGGCUACUUUGAUGGUCAAAAUAUUUUUAUUGCAGCAGACUUCACAAAUGGGAUUGGUGAGGAAGAGCGGAAGGCAAUAGAGUAGAUGGAAAAAUUGUCAAGACUCAAGAGACGGCUACUUGAGCUAGAUUUUGGAGAAGGGUUUAGAUGCAGUGGUCCCUGCCGCCUAUGUUAGAGAUGUCAUGCCGUUUGGGAUUCCAUUUGCAGGCUUGAGAGGGAUGAAGCCGAAGCUGAUAGGGAUGGCUUUUAAUUUUGAAGAAGCUACCAUGAUCCGUAGGCCUCCCAUCUUCAGAUCCGUUGAAUUUAGUUGAAAAUGCUUUCUAUUAAUUGUUCUUGAUCUUUAGCACUUAUUAGUGUUGCUUUUCCAUCAGAGAGCAAGUGCAGCAUAUGGUUUGUGAAAGACAUCCACUGGCAUCCACGAUGUUUUUUGUACUAAUGUUGUCGGUGAAUAAAGCCCUCGGUGGCCUUUGUUUUCACCAAAGAAAUGAUUGGCCUUUGCUUUUUCUUCUUUUAUUUACAGGUAAA